CCUCAGGAAGCGUCUCUGGUCUGCAGACACCAAGAAAGAAACACUUUGCCACCUCUUGACCAGGGCAAGAAAGUGACAUUUGCUGACCGUCCGACCUUCAUCAAACGGUUGAGCACAGACAGCAUCGAUGGAGGACACUUCAGACGGAUAAGGAGCUUACUGCUGAAGGAGAGCUC